GGCUCUAAGCUCAGUGGUUAGAGCAUCUGCUUUGCAUGCAGAAGGUCUCACGUUCAACGUCUGGCAUCCAGGUAGGGCUG